AGACCGAUAGCGAACAAGUAGAGUGAUCGAAAGAUGAAAAGCACUUUGAAAAGAGAGUUAAACAGCACGUGAAAUUGUUGAAAGGGAAGCGCUUGCGACCAGACUCGGCCUCGGGGUUCAGCCAGCAUUCGUGCUGGUGUACUUCCCCGGGGCCGGGCCAGCGUCGGUUCGGGCGGCCGGUCAAAGGCCCCAGGAAUGUAUCGUCCUCCGGGACGUCUUAUAGCCUGGGGUGCAAUGCGGCCAGCCUGGACCGAGGAACGCGCUUCGGCACGGACGCUGGCGUAAUGGUUGCAAACGACCCGUCUUGAAACACGGACCAAG
rnacentral:rRNA from 1 species